GACGAAACGAAAUCGCAGCUUUGUUGUCUCCGUCGUGCUAAUCGCACUGGUGUGAUCCGUUCGCGAAUCUGACGGACGGAUCUGCGGAGAUCGCGCGUUGAUCGAGGAGAGGUCGGUAGUGGCAAAACGGUAUUUUCGCAAAAGUCGCGAUAUUUUAUGUAUCGUUUCGCGAGGGAUCGCACGUGGAGGGGCGUUCAUGCGUUUUAGUCGUACUGUGAGGGUCUCGGAUUGUAAUUCUGAUGUU
rnacentral:lncRNA from 1 species